rnacentral:rRNA from 1 species
CUAGCUUCAGCGAUGGAUCGGUCGAUUCGCGUAUCGAUGAAAAACGCAGCAAGCUGCGUUAUUUACCACGAAUUGCAGACACUUAGAGUGGUAAAAUUUUGAACGCAUAGCACCGUUGGGUUUUCCCUUCGGCACGUCUGGUUCAGGGUUGUU